rnacentral:sRNA from 1 species
AUGUUCACUUGUUCAGCAGAGCGGCAGCCGGCUGCUCAUGAGAGAAUAGAAACAGCAAACAAUUCUCCAACCUCACCGAGUGACACCACUUACAGUGGGCAUAGUUCUCAUGCGUCUUUAAUUGAGGAGGCCAGUGCUCCCAGUAGGGCCUCUUCCUUGGAGGGCUCCCUAGCCCAUGAAGUCUCUAGCCAGGGACCACGAUACACGAUAGAAUCUGGGGGUAGAAGCAGUGGGAUGACUGGAACCAUCUCCCAUUAUGAGGGAGUUGGUUCUUACCUACAUGAUAUUUACAAGCAGAAGAAGAUAUGUGAUGUCUCCUUUCAAGUGGGAGAGAUCCUCAAUUCCACUUCACAAAAGUUGUACUGGCAUCACAGAGUACACUUUUUAAGGAAAUUUUUGAAGCGAAGGAAUUUUCCUCUGAUCCUGUCACCCCAAAGAUAAUCAGGGUGAAGAAUGUUGAACCUGCUGCCUUGGAAAUCUUCAUUAACUUCUUAUAUACAGGUCACAUUGAGGUUAAAAAUUCGAAAUUUAUACCUGACAUCCUGAAGUUGUCGGAGAUAUUUGAAGUUGAAACACUUUCAAGGCGUUGCAUUGACGGAUUGAAAAAUAUUAGCAAUGCAGAUCUUCUUAAUUUACUACCAGUAAUGAGGAGAAACAAGAACAUCCCAAUGUGCAGAACUAUCAUGCAACUGCUGGGCAAAAACUUCAUGACCUGGAG